rnacentral:rRNA from 1 species
GAUGAGCGCUAGCGGCAGGCCUAAUACAUGCAAGUCGAACGGUGUCUUCGGACAUAGUGGCGCACGGGUGCAUAACACGUAUGCAACCUACCUUACAUUGGGGGAUAGCCUUUCGAAAGGGAGAUUAAUACCGCAUAAGACAGUAGCUGGGCAUCCAGCAGCUGUUAAAGAUUUAUCGAUGUAAGCUGGGCAUGCGUCCAAUUAGCUAGUUGGUGAGGUAACGGCUCACCAAGGCAAUGAUUGGUAGGGGAACUGAGAGGUCAAUCCCCCACACUGGCACUGAGAUACGGGCCAGACUCCUACGGGAGGCAGCAGUAGGGAAUAUUGGGCAAUGGACGCAAGUCUGACCCAGCCAUGCCGCGUGCAGGAUGAAGGCGUUAUGCGUUGUAAACUGCUUUUAUACAGGAAGAAACGACUCUUGCGAGAGGCAUUGACGGUACUGAAUGAAUAAGCACCGGCUAACUCCGUGCCAGCCGCCGCAGUAAAAC